rnacentral:rRNA from 1 species
AGGAUUGACAGAUUGAGAGCUCUUUCUUGAUUUUGUGGGUGGUGGUGCAUGGCCGUUCUUAGUUGGUGGAGUGAUUUGUCUGCUUAAUUGCGAUAACGAACGAGACCUUAACCUGCUAAAUAGUGCUGCUAGCAUUUGCUGGUUGCGCACUUCUUAGAGGGACUAUCGGUUUCAAGCCGAUGGAAGUUUGAGGCAAUAACAGGUCUGUGAUGCCCUUAGACGUUCUGGGCCGCACGCGCGCUACACUGACGGAGCCAGCGAGUACAACCUUGGCCGAGAGGUCUGGGUAAUCUUGUGAAACUCCGUCGUGCUGGGGAUAGAGCAUUGCAAUUAUUGCUCUUCAACGAGGAAUUCCUAGUAAGCGCAAGUCAUCAGCUUGCGUUGAUUACGUCCCU